rnacentral:miRNA from 1 species
CAGGUGUCUGUGGCAGCCUCA